rnacentral:rRNA from 1 species
UAUGCUUGUCUCAAAGAUUAAGCCAUGCAUGUCUAAGUCCAAGCUGUGUUCACACGGCGAGACCGCGGACGGCUCAUUAAAUCAGUCGUGGUCCAAAUGGGCCAGUGCAAAUCCUACUUGGAUAACUGUGGUAAUUCCAGAGCUAAUACAUGCAACUGAUAUCCCGAAGGCGGUGUUGGGGCUUGCUUGCCUUGCGCUGCGCUGCUCUGACGGAUGCUUUUAUUAGACCAAGCCGCUGAGGACUUGAGGGUUCGCGCUCUCUUGUUUGACUCGUGUGAUGGUGACUCUGGAUAACCAAAUUCUGACAAGCGCACGUACUUCUCUUCUGAGCGAGACGGCGCUGCCACUUUCGAGUGUCUGCCUUAUCAGCUAUCAACCGUUCGUUAUGCGCGACCGAUGGCUUUGACGGGUAACGGGGAAUCAGGGUUCGAUUCCGGAGAGGCAGCCUGAGAGACGGCUACCACGUCCAAGGACGGCAGCAGGCACGCAAAUUACCCAAUCCCAGCAAAUGGGGGAGGUAGUGACGAAAUCUAACGAUGCGGGCGCCCUUUCUGGGGCCCCGCAAUCGGAAUGGGCACUUUCUAAACAACCUGUUGAGAACCUACUGAA